rnacentral:rRNA from 1 species
CGGGUGAGUAACGCGUGAGCAACCUGCCUUUCAGUGGGGGACAACAGUUAGAAAUGACUGCUAAUACCGCAUAGUAUGAGAUGGACCCGCGUCUGAUUAGCUAGUUGGUGAGGUAACGGCCCACCAAGGCGACGAUCAGUAGCCGACCUGAGAGGGUGAUCGGCCACAUUGGGACUGAGACACGGCCCAAACUCCUACGGGAGGCAGCAGUGGGGAAUAUUGCACAAUGGGGGAAACCCUGAUGCAGCGACGCCGCGUGAAGAAGAAGUAUUUCGGUAUGUAAAUUCUAUCAGCAGGGAAGCGGUACCUGACUAAGAAGCCCCGGCUAACUACGUGCCAGCAGCCGCGGUAAUACGUAGGGGGCAAGCGUUAUCCGGAUUUACUGGGUGUAAAGGGAGCGUAGGCGGUCUGACAAGUCAGAAGUGAAAGCCCGGGGCUCAACUCGGGACUGCUUUUGAAACUGCCGGACUAGAUUGCAGGAGAGGUAAGUGGAAUUCCUAGUGUAGCGGUGAAAUGCGUAGAUAUUAGGAGGAAC